rnacentral:rRNA from 1 species
GGCGGCAGCUUACACAUGCAGUCGAGCGGGGGAAGGUAGCUUGCUACUGGACCUAGCGGCGGACGGGUGACUAAUGCUUAGGAAUCUGCCUAUUAGUGGGGGACAACAUCUCGAAAGGGAUGCUAAUACCGCAUACGUCCUACGGGAGAAAGCAGGGGAUCUUCGGACCUUGCGCUAAUAGAUGAGCCUAAGUCGGAUUAGCUAGUUGGUGGGGUAAAGGCCUACCAAGGCGACGAUCUGUAGCGGGUCUGAGAGGAUGAUCCGCCACACUGGGACUGAGACACGGCCCAGACUCCUACGGGAGGCAGCAGUGGGGAAUAUUGGACAAUGGGGGGAACCCUGAUCCAGCCAUGCCGCGUGUGUGAAGAAGGCCUUAUGGUUGUAAAGCACUUUAAGCGAGGAGGAGGCUACUUUAGUUAAUACCUAGAGAUAGUGGACGUUACUCGCAGAAUAAGCACCGGCUAACUCUGUGCCAGCAGCCGCGGUAAUACAGAGGGUGCGAGCGUUAAUCGGAUUUACUGGGCGUAAAGCGUGCGUAGGCGGCUUAUUAAGUCGGAUGUGAAAUCCCCGAGCUUAACUUGGGAAUUGCAUUCGAUACUGGUGAGCUAGAGUAUGGGAGAGGAUGGUAGAAUUCCAGGUGUAGCGGUGAAAUGCGUAGAGAUCUGGAGGAAUACCGAUGGCGAAGCAGCCAUCUGGCCUAAUACUGACGCUGAGGUACGAAAGCAUGGGGAGCAAACAGGAUUAGAUACCCUGGUAGUCCAUGCCGUAAACGAUGUCUACUAGCCGUUGGGGCCUUUGAGGCUUUAGUGGCGCAGCUAACGCGAUAAGUAGACCGCCUGGGGAGUACGGUCGCAGACUAAAACUCAAAGGAAUUGACGG